ACUCCUACGGGAGGCAGCAGUGAGGAAUAUUGCGCAAUGGGCGAAAGCCUGACGCAGCAACGCCGCGUGAGCGAUGAAGGCCCUUGGGUCGUAAAGCUCUGUCGUAGGGAACGAAAAGCGUCAUCCCAAUAAGAUGGCGUCAUGACGGUACUUUGCAAGAAGGCCCCGGCCAACUCCGUGCCAGCAGCCGCGGUAAU
rnacentral:rRNA from 1 species